rnacentral:rRNA from 1 species
UAGGGAAUCUUCCGCAAUGGGCGAAAGCCUGACGGAGCAACGCCGCGUGAGUGAAGAAGGAUUUCGGUUCGUAAAGCUCUGUUGUUAGGGAAGAAUGAUUGUAUAGUAACUAUAUACAGUAGAGACGGUACCUAACCAGAAAGCCACGGCUAACUACGUGCCAGCAGCCGUGGUAAUACGUAGGUGGCAAGCGUUGUCCGGAAUUAUUGGGCGUAAAGCGCGCGCAGGUGGUUUAAUAAGUCUGAUGUGAAAGCCCACGGCUCAACCGUGGAGGGUCAUUGGAAACUGUUAAACUUGAGUGCAGGAGAGAAAAGUGGAAUUCCUAGUGUAGCGGUGAAAUGCGUAGAGAUUAGGAGGAACACCAGUGGCGAAGGCGGCUUUUUGGCCUGUAACUGACACUGAGGCGCGAAAGCGUGGGGAGCAAACAGGAUUAGAUACCCUGGUAGUCCACGCUGUAAACGAUGAGUGCUAAGUGUUGGUCUCAUAAGAGAUCAGUGCUGCAGCUAACGCAUUAAGCACUCCGCCUGGGGAGUACGACCGCAAGGUUG